CAGAAAUACACACUAAAGCAGCUCAGAAUCUGAAAAAUAUAAAAGCUAAAACCUGAGGCACUGUCACUCCUUGCUGUCCCCAGUGCAAUCCUUCCAGGCUUGUCCAUCCCAAGUGCUGAGCAGAGCCUAAAAGCUCGCACAGAACUGAUUUUGUGGUGGAAGAACAGUGUAGAGCUGGGUGUUGAGGCAGGAGGGUGGGAAGGGACAUGUUAGCAGCAGGCUGAAGUCAGGCUCUGAAGAUGAGCCAACUCAUCUCCCAGCCAUGGAUGUGAAGAAGCCGAGCACAGCCCUGCCUGGAAGGCUGGGAGGAUGGUCUGGGGAUGGGGGGAGGAUAUUGCUGUGCUCUGACUGCUCCUUUGAGUGCAGCUUUUGAGUGACAGGGAAAGUGCCCAGUGUAAACAGCUCUUUUGUGGUAGCUGAAUUAAAAUGCUCUCAGCUGCUGCCUCAGGUGCCAGUGUUGGAUUUCUGCUCAAACCCAGCUUCAUCCACAGCUUUGCCAGGUGGUGAGGAGUGGGGCUGGUCUCUGUAAAGAUGUGAUGCAAUUUGCUUGAACCCACAAAGGGUGCAAAGGGGGAAUGGUGUCCUUUGAAAACGCCUCUGUUGUUUUAUGAAAGAUUCUUGGUUUUUCACAGUCCUGUCAUUUGAAUGUGGUGGGGUUUUGUUGCUUUUGCUGUUGCAGAAAAGGUAAAUAUAGGGUGUUGUUGAGGAAAGGGGAAUGUGCUACACAGAUUGAGGGGCUGUGCUGGCUAAUUCCAAGAUAGCAUUUUUUUGGGGAUAACUCAUACCCUCCAAAGCCAGGACCACCAAACACAUCCAGGUGGCAGCAAAUCUCCUGUUCCUGGAGAUUCCACUAAGCUGCCAGGCCUAGUGGUGCUCUUGAUUUUAAGGCAUAACCCAAACACCUGGAGAUCACUACCAGUCACCUUUCCCAAUACUUCUCCCUGUCCCAAGCAUUUCUGCUGCCUUGUUUGGGCUCUAAGUCAUCCCUGUCCAGGCUCCAGCCUUCCCCCCACAGCUAGGGCUUGUGCAAAGGAUGUAUCAGUGGUGAGGGGUUGAGGAUUCUUUGCUUUUUUUUUUUGCCAAGGUCAGGAUUUAAUGUGUGAGACGGUAUUUCUUGGUCAGACUCAGAUGUUUAUCAGUUUUUAUCUCUGUCACAGUCUCACAAACCCUGAGUCCUACAGCACUUCACUCUGACAAACUAAACAUGGAGCCCCAUCUCUACAAGGCCUUUUAAGGAUAAACUGUACAAUUAAGAAGUAACACCUCAAUUAUUUUUACUUUUAACCCAAUAACCAACCACCUGUGGCUGCAAUGUGGACUUUGUUAUCCAAUUACACAAAACUGUGGAGAAGGAGGUGAAGAAGAAGAAGAAGGAGGUCAAGAAGGAUUAGUCUCUGCCCUAAAACCUCCAUCUUACUUUAUAUCUAUUACUAUUUUCUAAACCGUUAAACUCUCAGUUUCCCACCCUGUGAUAUCACACACUUCUAUUCAAACUCCACACCCACAAUCCCAGUUCUGUCAUUCCAUUUUGGAAGCUUCUCCACAGCCUCAGGUCAAUGCAGUGUUCUCCUGGGGGUCAGGGCCUGGCAGCACAGAAAGUCUGAAACUCUCAGUGUCCAGGGCUCCAACCAGGGGUUUCAUGUGAUCCUUGAAAGAGGCUGGAGAGAACUGGUGCAGCACAGGGAAGGUGCUCCCUGUUCUCACAGGGAGCACACGCUGCUGGCUGUGCUCAGUGUUGUGCCAUCAGAGCAGUGGCAGGAGAAGCUGUUCCCUAAGAGGAGGUGGCUUUGCAAAGGGGAAUCCUCCUGAGGCUGUCAGCACCCCAAGGCUUCACCUGCAAAAUGCCAAAUGUAUUAAAAUUCCAUGUCUGCUGUGCAUGAGGCACCUGUCCAGAGCCUGCUGGAGCUCUCUGCCCAUUAAAAUGUCAGAGGAGCAGAGGCUGCACUGCCUCAGCCCCUGCUUGGAUCUCAGACAGUUUCCAGAGUUGUGCACAGGUUUAUAGCCACACACUGCAGAGUGAGGGGUGCAUUAAAUCACAGGCCACACAGAGGGGCAAAAAUGGUGCUUCAAAUUUCUUCCAGCAGCCCAGACCUCCAGGCUCAGCCUUGUUUGCUGAGCAAUAUUUCAGACUUGGGGGAAAAAAAGAGUAUAUUUUAAUUGUCUUUAACAGCACAACUCUUUAAGUUGUCUGGUUGAGGGGAUGGUCAGCUCUAUGGCAGAGGGGAAUCACUGGGUUCCCUGGGGUUUUCAGACUCAUGGCUUUGGUCUCAGAGGCUGGGCAGGGCCUCAGUGUAAAAACAGAUUUAUUUUUACCUGUGUCUCUGGGAAAUAACCAGUCACUGAUGCAACUGUAAAAGCACUGGUUACAGCUGAGGGGCUUUUUCAGGGUGGGCCACCAGGUAUUUUGUCCACUUUUCCUCGUCUAAUCACCAGGUAUUUUGUCCACUUUUCCUUGUGCA